ACUCCCACCCCCAUGGCGGAGCCCCGCCCCUAGGGGCGCGCCCGGCCCACGCGCGAGAGCGCGCGAGGGCGCAGGCAACCUGAGCCUCCCAUUUUCCCAGGCCUGCGAGUGGGGGUUUCCACGUAGCCCCUUAGGCCCCUGACUCUGGUACUGUCCCGAAGAUUGGAAUCAGGAAAACUGUGAAAAAUGACGACAGACAGAUACACAAUUAGGCAAAAGGGAGGUACCUUACAAAGCUGAAAAUGACACCCAAUUCUAGCCACUUCUCCCUCACCUGCCCCCUGAAAGCCACACCCAGUGUUUUCCCCAGUCCUGGUUUCUACACUUCUAUCUUGAGGCUGACUCUCCCCCUUGUGACCUGUCCACCAAUCGGGGGAAGCAGUGGCUGGACACCCUUCAGAUCUCCAAGCAGAUCUCCACUGACCUGGGGCCCAGGCAUGCACUGAGGACACGCCCCUAAAGAUGGCUGGGCCUGCCAGAUGGCAGGAUUCACUUACCAGAAGCAGUGGGGAGACACCUAGCAAAAAGAAUACAUGAUACCACACAUAUGGGAGGCAUGAAACUGAGUGAUAUGCUGGGCAGAGACUUUUUCUUUCAUAAUAUGCACUGAAUCUGCAAAGACAUCACUUAAAGAUGUGAAACAUGUGCGUGGGUUAAUCAAAAGGGGGGACCGAAGAAACCAGGGGACACCUGGUUAAGGGGGCUGGAGCCAGGAGAACAGUGGGAGAUAGAUUUUACAGACAUUAAGCCAGGGAAAUAUGGGUACAGGUAUCUUUUAGUCCUGGUAGACACUUUUUCAGGUUGGGUAGAAGCAUAUCCAACAAAACAUGAAACUGCCUCAGGGGUAGUUAAACUGAACCUCAACUAACCUCUCCUCCGGCUGCUGGCUUUGCCUUGAUUCCCAACCGCCAUAUUACGAAGCCAUUGCCUUGAAUGCCUCGUUCAAUUCCUCCCAGGAGGAUAGCCCCCAAGGUUGCAAUUGGAGCAACCGUAAAGUAGGCCUGACUAUGCCUAUAUCCGGCCAAGGUAUAUGUAUAGGUAACCUUUCACAUGGCAGCCACUAGUGCCUUAAUAAUUCCCCUCCCCCUCCUCAGAAUGGUACAUUCCCCCAUAUGGAGCUUACUGGGCCUGCACCUCCUCAGGAUUGACUCCUUGCGUUUCCUCCGCAACCUUGUCCCAGGACCCCAAGCUUUGUAUCCUAGUCACCAUUCUGCUCUGAGUACUAUACCAUUGGGGGACGGAGCUGCUGGACUAUUGGGAACUUGGAAGAAUCAGCCGCCAGAAACAGGAACCUGUCCCCACACUGACCCUAGCCACGCUAUUCGGCUUGGCAGGGAUUGGCACAGGUAUAACCUCCCUUUUUCAAACAGCAGACCUAAGGCACCUACACACUGACGUAGAUGUGGAUCUGAGGCAUAUAGAAAAAUCACUAGGUGCCCUUGAGAAAUCGCGAUCCUCCCUUUCAGAAGUCAUACUCCAGAACCAAAGGGGCCUUGAUCUUUUGUUCCUCAAGGAACAGUGCAGCAUAAAUAUGGACCACACAGGGGUAUUCAGGGAGUCAAUAGCCGAACUUAAGUGUAGUUUAGAUGCCCGAGAAUGUGAACACACCCACGCCCAACCUUGGUACCAACAAGCGUUUGUGAAAUUCCCCUGGCUCACCACCCUCAUCUCCAUUAGAUAUUGAUCUCCACUGGACCAAUGUUAAUUCUCUUCUUCCUUAUCACUUUCAGGCCUUGUAUAGUCCACCAACUGGUCCACUUUGUGAAGGACCAGGUCCACACAGUCCAUCUCAUGGUCCUCAGGCAGCAAUAUCAGGCCCUGUCACCCCCCCACCCCCCCCCCCACCCCCCCAUGGCUAUGUUAAUGCCCUGCCCCUGGAGGUUUCUGCUCACCCCUGAACGAGCAUCAAAAUAAAAAGAACUGGGGAAUGAAGGGAAGUAGGGGUUGCACUGUGUCCAAAUGAACAGUUCCUGGAGAAACUGCAAGGCCACAGUUGAGACAGAUAUCCUGGAAAAACUGUAAGACGCUCUACCCAAGGCCACAGCUGUUGAGACAGAUAUCCUGCUGCUCUCUCUAUAUAUGCACUCUCAGUCUUGCCCCAGUGUGGUUUCCCUUGGGUGACCACCCUAGCUUGCUAGGAAUAAACCUCUCCCUUUUGUCUUUA